UACGUAGGGUGCAAGCGUUAAUCGGAAUUACUGGGCGUAAAGCGUGCGCAGGCGGUUCGUUGUGUCGGUGGUGAAAUCCCCGGGCUUAACCUGGGAAUGGCCAUGGAAACUGGCGAACUGGAGUGUGGCAGAGGGGGGUGGAAUUCCGCGUGUAGCAGUGAAAUGCGUAGAGAUGCGGAGGAACACCGAUGGCGAAGGCAGCCCCCUGGGCUAGCACUGACGCUCAGGCACGAAAGCGUGGGGAGCAAACAGG
rnacentral:rRNA from 1 species